UCUGUGUAUGUGAUUCAAAUUUGAGAAAAUUUUUAGUUGAAAUUUCAGAUACAGUAGGUUUGGAUAGAUUAGUGGUUGAUUAGAGUUUAAAUUUCGUGUUUUUGAUGACCAAGUUUAUGGAUACCCAGAUUUGUUUUUAUUUUUUAUGGAUGACCAAGUUUGUGAUUUUUUAGGGAUAUUUCUAGGUUUUGCAUGUUGGUUUGUAUUACUUGAUGGAUGCAAUCAGGCUAAGACAGACAGGUUUUUCUGUUGACAGCUUAGGCGACAUGGGGGAGGCAUUGCUUACUUGAGUGGCAGUGCUUCUGCUCUGUCCCUGUGUAGAUACUAUUUCAUGUGAUGGAAAUCAAUAAUGAUUAUUCUAAUGAAGCCACAAAUGUCAUUGCUUUUCAAGUAGUCAUGGGUUAUGCACCUGGCUUCAUUUUGAUCCAGGGGUUCCGAUUCAAGAGUACAUGUCUUAAAUGCACACAGGGGAAAUACUCUAGACAGCCACAGGCUUAUGAAUUUCGCUAGGCAACAGGGUCUUGAUAAGCAACAUAAUCUUAUGGAGGUGCUCUCUCUUGGCUACUUCACUCAGGCAAAAUUUAUUGGUGACAAAUUGUCAGAUUGAUCGCUGCUCAUUCUCUCUCAAUCGCGCGCUAUAGUUUGCCCCCUCAAUCUUUGCCUUUUAUCAACGCCACCACCAAGGCUUACAUCAGUGAUACUUCAAAUGAAUGUAGUAGCAACUUAUCAAGUGAACAAGGUAGUGAUUCUACAAAGUUUCAAAAAGUUGAUGUUCAAAGCAAUGUGCAACUCACACCAACAUCUAUGCUCAAGGAAAACAAAAGGACAUAUUUAGUGACUAUUACAAAGCAACAAAGGAAGAAGAUACAAAAAACACUUUUUAAAGUUUUUUUUUUUUUUUUUCAAUUUAUUUGAAAUAAUGAUUAAGUAGUUCUUUAAAUUUGUGUUUCAUACAUUUUAUGGAUAACUGAGGAUGUUAAAGAUUUAAUUCUUCA